rnacentral:tRNA from 1 species
UGCUUUUUAUUUAUUUUUGAUUUACAAGAUCAGUGUUUUUGUUAAACUAAAAAAGC